GACGAACGCUGGCGGCGUGCUUAACACAUGCAAGUCGAACGGAAAGGCCCUGCUUUUGUGGGGUGCUCGAGUGGCGAACGGGUGAGUAACACGUGAGUAACCUGCCCUUGACUUUGGGAUAACUUCAGGAAACUGGGGCUAAUACCGGAUAGGAGCUCCUGCUGCAUGGUGGGGGUUGGAAAGUUUCGGCGGUUGGGGAUGGACUCGCGGCUUAUCAGCUUGUUGGUGGGGUAGUGGCUUACCAAGGCUUUGACGGGUAGCCGGCCUGAGAGGGUGACCGGCCACAUUGGGACUGAGAUACGGCCCAGACUCCUACGGGAGGCAGCAGUGGGGAAUAUUGCAAAAUGGGCGGAAGCCUGAUGCAGCAACGCCGCGUGCGGGAUGACGGCCUUCGGGUUGUAAACCGCUUUCGCCUGUGACGAAGCGUGAGUGACGGUAAUGGGUACAGAAGCACCGGCUAACUACGUG
rnacentral:rRNA from 1 species